rnacentral:rRNA from 1 species
UACGUAGGGUGCAAGCGUUGUCCGGAAUUAUUGGGCGUAAAGAGCUCGUAGGCGGUCUGUCGCGUCGGAUGUGAAAACCCCAGGGCUCAACCCUGGGCCUGCAUUCGAUACGGGCAGACUAGAGUUCGGUAGGGGAGACUGGAAUUCCUGGUGUAGCGGUGAAAUGCGCAGAUAUCAGGAGGAACACCGGUGGCGAAGGCGGGUCUCUGGGCCGUAACUGACGCUGAGGAGCGAAAGCGUGGGGAGCGAACAGG